UACGUAGUGUGCGAGCGUUAAUCGGAAUUACUGGGCGUAAAGCGUGCGCAGGCGGCUUUGCAAGACAGAUGUGAAAUCCCCGGGCUCAACCUGGGAACUGCAUUUGUGACUGCAAGGCUAGAGUACGGCAGAGGGGGAUGGAAUUCCGCGUGUAGCAGUGAAACGCGUAGAUAUGCGGAGGAACACCAAUGCCGAAGGCAAUCCCCUGGGCCUGUACUGACGCUCAUGCACGAAAGCGUGGGGAGCAAACAGG
rnacentral:rRNA from 1 species